rnacentral:rRNA from 1 species
UUGACGGAGAGUUUGAUCCUGGCUCAGGACGAACGCUGGCGGCGUGCUUAAUACAUGCAAGUCGAACGCUCUCGACCUUCGGGUCACAUGAGAGAGUGGCGAACGGGUGCGUAACACGUGAGAAACCUGCCCCAAAGACGGGAAUAGCCCGAGGAAACUCGGAUUAAUACCCGAUACCUUCACAAUGUCGCAUGGCAAUGUGAAGAAAGUUCAGGCGCUUUGGGAGGGUCUCGCGGCCUAUCAGCUUGUUGGUGAGGUAACGGCUCACCAAGGCAUCGACGGGUAGCUGGUCUGAGAGGACGAUCAGCCACACUGGGACUGAGACACGGCCCAGACUCCUACGGGAGGCAGCA